GUAGUCUCGCACAGAUGCAUAUCAAUAAGCGGAGGAAAAGAAACUAACAAGGAUUCCCCUAGUAACGGCGAGUGAAGCGGGAAGAGCUCAAAUUUGAAAUCUUAAAGGGUUUCCCUUUACGAAUUGUAGUUUAAAGAAGUGUUUUCUGUUGAGGUUUUGGUAAAAGUUCUUUGGAAUAGGACAUCAUAGAGGGUGAGAAUCCCGUAUUUGACCUUUACUUUCAACUUUGUGAUACACUUUCAAAGAGUCGGAUUGUUUGGGAAUGCAGUCCAAAAUGGGUGGUAAAUUUCAUCUAAAGCUAAAUAUUGGCGAGAGACCGAUAGCGAACAAGUACCGUGAGGGAAAGAUUGAAAAAGAACUUUGAAAAGAGAGUUAAACAGUACGUGAAAUUGUCAAAAGGGAAGCGUUUGACACCAGUGUUGUUUUUCUGAAAAUUAAUUAAAGAACUGUUUAUGCUAAGCUGUUUAGACUUUAUCAGCUAUCUGUUUAGUUUUGAGCUUUUCUUUAAUGCACUUUUCAGUUAACAAGUCAACAUCAAUUUCUUUUGCUGUAAAAAAGCUUGAGGAAGGUGGCUUGAGAUUCGUCUUAAGUGUUUAUAGCCUCUUGCCUAUGCAGUCGGAGAGAUUGAGGUCUGCAGCGUAGAUCCUUCGGGGCUAAAUGCAUUUGUGCUAAGUUAUAACAUUUUAUAGACAACUUGUUGACUAUGAUUUGUCUUGUAGCUUACUCGCUUAUGUUAUUUUACCUACGCUUAGGAUGUUGAUCUGUAGUGCGUGCGC
rnacentral:rRNA from 1 species